UUCGUCUAUGCCCACAGACGCCAGGGUGGAUGAUGUCUGGGAUGAGCGGGCUCGUUGAGGUAUGUGAGCUCGUUGUCGAGGUGACGACCCACAAUGCUACGAAGGUUGUUGCUGCGGCCGGGUCGGAAGCUACUCAAGCUGACAUUUUCUAGUUUUUGUUUUCCUUUCGCUUAUGCUAAGUAGGCUACUCAACCCUUUUUGUAUUUAGCCCGACUUUAGGGUCGGCUAUUUUUGUACUCGCCCCUUGGCUUUUCAAUCAUGAAUGAAGUGGUCUUUUUUUUCAGUCUUGAAAUCUAGCAUGGUGUUUGAACGUAUUUCGCCUAGGGCUUUAUGCUUAACCAGUAAGACCCGAACUUCAUGGUUUGGAUAUUAGCUCAGCCUCCAUGCUGCCAUGUAGCUCCGUAGAGUUGGCAAAGAGCUUGUUGAGCUUUUUGAGGCGAGAUCCAAUGACACAUCACUCGACGCAGAAAUGGCUACGGGGGCUCUUAUGGCUCGCGAUCGACAUAAUGCAUGGUGCUCCGAGCUCGGCUUAAGGGACACCAUUGUAGAUACCUGCGAUCGCAGGGGCUAUCCGACUCGCGAUCGACACAACGCAGGGUGCCUCGAGCCUAGCUCAAGAGACGUCAUUGUAGAUACUGCAGGGCGCCCCCACUCAGAUUGGGGGCGUGCUUGUAGAUUGCUGUGGUUGGGGGAGCUCUUCAACGGCCAGCGUGGGCACGCUCGUGGAUGCAACUGUAGAUGGGACCGAGCUCGGUGAGAGGUCGCAUCAUAUAUUUGGCGAUGUCGGCUUGUCGGGUGCUGAGGUCGCCCUAGCUUCCUCGGUUGAGUGCUCCAAGCUCGAGGGUCGGGGCGUGUUGAUAGAUAAGGUGCCCCGAGCUUGGUCGGAGCGGAUCGGUGAGUAUAGAAGGCGCCCCUAGCUUGGUCGGGACAGGUCGGCAAGUAUAGAAGGC
rnacentral:lncRNA from 1 species